rnacentral:rRNA from 1 species
AGUGAACGCUGGCGGUAGGCCUAACACAUGCGAGUCGAACGGCAGCACAGUAAGAGCUUGCUCUUACGGGUGGCGAGUGGCGGACGGGUGAGGAAUACAUCGGAAUCUACUUUUUCGUGGGGGAUAACGUAGGGAAACUUACGCUAAUACCGCAUACGACCUACGGGUGAAAGCAGGGGAUCUUCGGACCUUGCGCGAUUGAAUGAGCCGAUGUCGGAUUAGCUAGUUGGCGGGGUAAAGGCCCACCAAGGCGACGAUCCGUAGCUGGUCUGAGAGGGUGAUCAGCGACACUGGAGCUAAAACAGGGCACAGACCCCUCCGGGAGGCCGACGUGGGGAAGAUUGGACGAUGGGCGCAAGCUGGAUCAAGCCAUACCGCGUGGGUGAAGCAGGAGUUCGGGUUGUAAAGCCCUUUUGUUGGGAAAGAAAAACAGACGGUUAAUACUGCGCUGUUCUGACGGUACCCAAAGAAUAAGCACCGGCUAACUUCGUG